GAUCAAUCAGACACAUUGAUAAAUUGAAAGUAAAUAGAAAUACAAAAUUGUAUGUUUUAGAAAUAAUUUAAUUUGCAUUCGCUAUAAAUAGGUUAAGAACAAAAAUAUACGAAAGAAAAUUAUUUAUUUACAAAUCAAAUAGGAAAAUGAGAAGAUAGUAAAAAAUCCUUUAUAUAAUUUAUAUGAAGAAAAAGUUCAAAAAUGCCGCGAACCUGUACUUAUUGUGCGGGCCCAGGAAAGCUGCCUCACCCUCAAUACAGUGUCAGUUUCUAUCCGAACGCUGACAAAAAGCAAGCCAUAGUUUGGCUCUGCGCCCUCAUAGUAUUCGCCUGUUUACUAAUAUUACUCGUGUUCAUGGUACUCUUUGUAAAGAAAUCUGAACCUACAUGACAGGAAAAAAUGUAAAAUGUUAUUGCAGAAAAAAAUGUAACGUAAUUUUGUAGGAAAUUGUGAUAAAAUUCGUUAAUUACAUACGUAUUGUUGAAAAAAGUAGUGUUUUUCU